AAUAGGUGGUUCCGGAAUUAUCUUGUCCAAUUGCUUUAUUCACAUAUUACAACCCUAUUCUGAAGCGUGGUACUGAGAAUUUUAUGUCUAUCAUAAAAGAUGUUGGUGUACAUGGGCUUGUAGUCCCAGAUGUUCCAUUAGAAGAGACUGAUAAUUUAAGAAAGGAAGCUCUGAAAAAGAAUAUUGAACUGGUAUUGCUAACCACACCCACUACUCCUAAUGAUCGAAUGAAAGCCAUUGUUCAAGCUGCUGAAGGAUUUGUCUAUAUGGAUUAAUUGUUGAUUGUAAUUUGAGCAAGAGCUUGGUUUUGCAGGAUUUUCUAUAACGAAAGACUUUGGAUUUUGAUUGAUUUAUUGAGGUAUUUACUCUUCAAAUGUGUUUAUUCUCUGUAUUUAGGAUUGUUUAUUUUGGUUUUUUUUUUUCAUUAUGUGCUAUAAGUUUAAGAGAAUGCAUGUUUCAAUUGAAUUUUUGUAAGACUUUAAUGUAUGUAGAAAAAUAUAUGUUGUUCUAAUAGAACCCAAUAUAGAGUUAAGUGGAGGUUAAUCUAAUUCCAUGUAAUUAAUACAAUAUGUUUAAGCUAUAGCUACCUAUAACUAGAUUGAUAUUUACACA